AGGGCCCCUAGUUAGGGGUAUGGGGGAGGGGUGCUGGAACAUUAAUUAUUCAUUUAUUGCAAAUAUCAUUCAAUGCCCCAACACCCUCCCCCCCCUUCCCCCACCCAAAACCCCGGUUCCCAAAGGGUGUCCCCCAUAAUUGGUGGGAUGAACUAGGGUAUACAUAGUAAAUCUCUAAAUCGGUUGGUUUGCAGUCAAAAUAAACGUUAAAUUCAUUGAAACCACACUAUUUCUGAUGCAACAAAUAUAUUUUUAUUGCAUUUUUCCAAAUUUGGCUGAAACUAAAAAUUUACCAAGUUUCAUUUAAUUAAACUUGUUAAUUAUAAAGUGAAUUUAUAGAAUCUGUUUUUAUCAAUCUUAGCCUUGGGUUAGCGCACUUAGCGGUUAUUGGUGACGCCAAGCGUUACCAUAUUAGUGAAUUCGUGUUGAAGGUCAGUCAGACGUUUUUAUUUAGUGACCAUGAUAUUGAAUAUGAAAAACAGAAUUAUUAUGCCGUAUGGGAGAAAAAGAAGAAAAAAGAUAACAGAAGGAAAUAUCGGAAACUACCUAUAAAAACCCAAGUCAGUAGUACUAUGUGAUUUUUGUAUGGAGAAACCAUUGCCAUCAACAUUUACUCCACAAGUGUCAAUGGAGGUUUGCUGCUGAGGAUUCAGUCAGCGUCGUAGAACUGGAGAACUUCCUCAAGCAUUCAGGCCUGAUGGAGCCACUCGAGAAUGAUUGACCAACAGCCAAGCACCCCUCAAGAACCGCUUCAUUAGCAAAUGAAAUAACGUCGAACUACGCUGUGUGUAUUUCUUUGCCACUGAGCAAAUGGUGCAGAAGAAUCUACAAGUUUCUACAGCGAUGAGAGUUUCCCGCGCGACAUUUGAUCUUGGCACAUUCCGUAGAAGUGGAGGCAGCACCAUCUUCUUAGAACAGGUGGUGACGUCAGGCAAUCAACAUUUGCAUCGUAAGAGCUGUCAUUUUUCGGAGAAUACAAAGGAAUUUUAGUGAAUUAGAGCCUUUCAAGUCGGAGGUACCGUAGUUUCUUCAAAUUAGAAUGUCACCGUGGAGUUGUAAGUAUAUUGCGACAUGGCGGGCGUGCUUUAUUGUAACGAACCUACGUUGUGAUUUUGUUCAUUUCUUUUUUAUGAAUGAAACGUACUCACGUAGGUUUACGGAGUUUUCAAUCCAGUGACUUAUAUAUGUUAUUUUGAAUAAAAACUAUUUUUUUUAUUAUCCUACGUAGUGGUUUUGUUGAUUGUUUUUAUGAAUGAAACGUACCCACGUUGGUUUAGGGAGCUUUUAAUCCAGUGAAUUAUAUAGAUUAUUUUGAAUAAAAACGUUUUUUUUUAUAAUCCUACGUUGUGAUUUUGUAAAUAUUUUUUAUGAAUGAAUCGUACACACGUUGGUCUAGGAAGUUUUCAAUCCAGUGACUUAAAUAGAUUAUUUUAGCUAAAAACGGUUUU